rnacentral:rRNA from 1 species
AACGAACGCUGGCGGCAGGCUUAACACAUGCAAGUCGAACGCACCGCAAGGUGAGUGGCAGACGGGUGAGUAACGCGUGGGAAUCUACCCAGAACUUCGGAAUAACACAGGGACACUUGUGCUAAUACCGGAUACGCCCUACGGGGGAAAGAUUUAUCGGUUCUGGAUGAGCCCGCGUUGGAUUAGCUAGUUGGUGAGGUAAAGGCUCACCAAGGCGACGAUCCAUAGCUGGUCUGAGAGGAUGAUCAGCCACACUGGGACUGAGACACGGCCCAGACUCCUACGGGAGGCAGCAGUGGGGAAUAUUGGACAAUGGGCGAAAGCCUGAUCCAGCCAUGCCGCGUGAGUGAUGAAGGCCUUAGGGUUGUAAAGCUCUUUUAGCAGGGAAGAUAAUGACGGUACCUGCAGAAAAAGCCCCGGCUAACUUCGUGCCAGCCGCCGCCGUAAGAC